UACGGAGGAUGCAAGCGUUAUCCGGAAUGAUUGGGCGUAAAGCGUCCGCAGGUGGCUAUGUAAGUCUGCUGUUAAAGAGUGAGGCUCAACCUCAUAAGAGCAGUGGAAACUACAUGGCUAGAGUGCGUUCGGGGCAGAGGGAAUUCCUGGUGUAGCGGUGAAAUGCGUAGAGAUCAGGAAGAGCACCGGUGGCGAAAGCGCUCUGCUAGGCCGCAACUGACACUGAGGGACGAAAGCUAGGGGAGCGAAUGGG
rnacentral:rRNA from 1 species